UCCGAGUUGACCCCGGCAGUCUCCUAUGAGUCCCCGGCAUUAUCCGCUGGCAACAUAGGACGAGGGUUGCGCUCGUUGCGGGACUUAACCCAACAUCUCACGACACGAGCUGACGACAGCCAUGCACCACCUGUAUACCGACCUUGCGGGGGCUACAUCUCUGCAGCUUUCCGGCAUAUGUCAAACCCAGGUAAGGUGGGGAUGACGUGACACGCAAUAACA
rnacentral:misc_RNA from 1 species